rnacentral:lncRNA from 1 species
CCUUACAAUUUCAACUCUUCCUUGGAGGAAAAUGAGAAGUGCCAGUGGACCAUUUGGCUGAUCACGUCACUCUAUAGAUGAACUUCUACCACAUUUGAGCGCCCACAUUGAAGACAAAAAUU